rnacentral:misc_RNA from 1 species
GGAAUGCGAUAAGUAAUGUGAAUUGCAGAAUUCAGUGAAUCAUCGAAUCUUUGAACGCACCUUGCGCUCCUUGGUAUUCCGAAGAGCAUGCCUGUUUGAGUGUCAUGGAAUUCUCAACUCUAUUUGCUUUUGUGAAUAGAGCUUGGAUUUGGAGGUUUAUUGCUGGUACUUGUGAUCGGCUCCUCUUGAAUGCAUUAGCUCGAACCUUUGCGGAUCAGCUAUCGGUGUGAUAAUUGUCUACGCCGUUGCAGUGAAGCAUAUCAAUGGGCUCGGCUUCCAAUCGUCCUUUACUGGACAAUGACUUUGACCUUUGACCUCAAAUCAGGUAGGAUUACCCGCUGAACUUAAGC